ensembl:lncRNA
AUAUUUGGCAGCAGCCGCAGCCGUGAACUACAUAUACCAUCAUGCCUUGCGCGCUUACGUUUGCUGAAAGCAGCAUGUGCUUCGCUGCUCCGCUCCAACUAUGGCUCAGUGAGGCUGCGGCUCUUCUCAGGAUGGUGUCGUAUCGGCAGAGGCGCUCUUUGGAGCUACAGCAGAGACUAUCAUCGCACUGGACCAGAGGGAGGAACCGGCAUCUUUUUGUUCCUUACUGGAAAUAUUCAUAAUCUGCUUGAUUUGCCAAACCCAGUUUUUGGCACGGAUUCUUUUAAUUUACAAAGAGGAUUAAAUUGUAACGUUACAACGCGGACACACGUGGAUUGAUACUAUCAUUUUGCUUUAACCUGAUCAUGAGGGCAACAGCCGAGGGACUUAAAACUGUAGCUAUGGCUCGUCCUGUAGGUAUCAGGGAAAACUGUCCUGUCCGGGAUGAGUGGCGUCUGUUACUGCCACAGUCCUCCUGCUGGACAAGUCGGUCGACUCUCCUGGGAUAACUUGGGAUACACGCGUUGUCAACACUGUCAGAGGUGGUCAGUGUCAUAUGCUUUUGGAAAUGUAUUCUUUUGGAUUUUGGCACAAGGAAAAGGAUACCCUGGAAUAAAUUUUGGAAGCUGUGCUCCGUAGAUGUCCAGUGAUUUGGAUAAUAUGAAUACGCAUCUCCUGACCCAGCAGAUUAUCUCCAGUGAGCAACAAGAAGAGGCUGACUAAUGGAAACAUGAUCUCAAGAGAUUCAACAGGUAGGGACGACUUUGGUUUUUGUUUGAUCUUCAUUCUGUGGAAUAUGUGAUCACACACAGCACAGUCUUAGGACAGUUGCUGUAAACAACCAAAAUAUGCUACGUUCACUGAUCAAACAGAGGUAGCAGUGGCAGUUCACAUAUAUAAAAGACAUGAUCAGGGUGGUGGCACUGGAUUUUUGCCUAUAUUCGUGCUUUUUUUAAAAAUUAUGUAACCCAAGUCAUGACAGUACAGUAAAAAAUGCAGUGGCACAGAGGUAUCACUUCAAACACAGCUUCUCUUGGGAGCCUCAGAUCCUUUCAUUGGUGCUGAAUGAAGAUAUGCUUUGAUGGCCCACCACAGAGUCGUGGCCUUCAAAGAAACUCAUUGACUGAAUUGUGCAGGGCCGCCAGCAGGCUGAAUGAGCGCCACUGUAUAAGUGCACCUCUCAGGGUAGUCGUGGGUGUUCCCAGUGGAGGUCAAACAUGCUUGACCCCAACAUGAGUACUAAUUUUCUAUAGAUUUUAGGUUUGCAUUUCUCUUCUUUUCUUUCCUUCUGCCUGGUUCUAUUACUAAAUGACGGGGAGCUGUGUGCGGAUGGCAGGGUGCCAGCAGACAGGUACUGUAGAUGUGAUGAUGAGGGAGUGUGAUAGAGGCUGGCCUCAGUUGCAUCCCCAGGCAAAGACAGACAUACACAGGCAGGCUGAGACUCAGAGGCAGGUUGGGGCCUGGUUUUGUAUGCUGAUGCUGCUCUGCUGGCUCUGCUCCAAGGUGAGGCAUAGGCGAGAAACGUGGGAAGGGAAAAACCAGAAUGGUGGCCAAAAGUAAAGAUACAGAAAACACACAACCACAAAUGAGGAUAGAUUAUAGCAUAGAGUGUUAACAAAAAACAAGACAGUGUUUGUAGCUUAUGCUCCAGGAAACAAACUGAAAAGAGAUGAUGACGUGAAGCCCUGAGGAGAGAGAGGGAAAUGCAGGAGGAGAGAUAUGAAGAAAGAGUGCGGCCACUUCCUGUACGCUGGUAGAACGUGACUCCACACAGGAUCACACCAAAUCCAAGUUUGGAUGGUGGACCAGCAUCCCCACAGCAGAUGUUUGCUCCUGGCAUGGCUGCUGACAGUAUGAGCUCCAUCACUGACAGUCUAGCUCUCAGGAUCCAGCCAGCAGCUUGAACUUGGAGGAGCCAUGACAUAAACUCACCAGGAUAGCAAAGCAUAUUCCGCUGCUCAGGCAUCAUGGAACAUAUCAGUCAACCUCUUCUGGAAAGGUGCUCAAGAGAGGAGUCAACUUGAUGAAUGAGCAUUUACUGUAGCUACCAUGACGGUCUACAUACUGUUUAACUAUUUUCUAAAUUGAAACUGGAUUAGUAUUUUCCCGUGCAUACAUCUGCUCUUGAUUUUCAAUAUUUACUGACACUGUUGCUCAUAUACUGUAGCUGUGAUUUUUACUGUGUUAUUCUAAAUACAGCAUCAAUAGUUUUUUUGGAUUUCAUUUUCUGGACUAUUUUUACUACUUUGAAGGCUAUUCUUUGCUUAACAUUUCAGGUUGAUCGAAUGAGGAUACAUAUCUCCUAUGCAUGUGAUCAAAAUGCCUCAGAAAAAUUACUCUGCCAAGACAAUGGAACAUUUCAAAGAAGCCAUUGUCAUCAUGGUCUUGAUAAAUGUAAAACAAAAUCUCUUUUAAUGACAACGCAUUUUGUUUUGACACAUUGGCAGCGUGUCUUAAUUCUGGUUCAUAAUCCUGUCAAGUUGUCGACUCUCAUUAUGAUUUAUUGCUCCAACAUUUGUGUUGUGUCUGUGAAACCUUGUUAGCAGAAAUAAAGAGGUGUAUCCAAGCUGCUGUCUGUUUUAUCAUUGCAUCUGCAGCUCUGUGAGAUGAGUAACCGAUAAGAUGGUUUCAUGAUGUUAUCUGUGUCAACUGUUACUGUUCGUCAAGCUGGUUUCAUUACUAGUUAGUUACUAUGUGCCAAUCUGGUAUUAGGGGAUUAGCUAGAGUUGUAUCACUCUUUUAUUUUUCUUUUGGGUUUAGACAGUGAAUAAAAGUGAAGUGAAAAUGGAAAACCAUGACAUUUAAAUGUUGAUAAAUUGAAAUGUUUUAGGAAAUCACAAGGUUUUGCUUGACUAAUUCAAUGUGAAUAAUAAGGACAAUGUUCAAGAGAUUAAAAAUGCAUUGUGCAAAAACCAAAUUCAUUAUAAUCACAAGCACUUUUGUAGUUUUAACACAUGACAUCAUAGAAAUUAG